CCUACGGGGGGCAGCAGUGGGGAAUAUUGGGCAAUGGGCGCAAGCCUGACCCAGCAACGCCGCGUGAAGGAAGAAGGCUCUCGGGUUGUAAACUUCUUUUCUCAGGGACGAAGAAAGUGACGGUACCUGAGGAAUAAGCCACGGCUACCUACGUGCAAGCAGCCGCGGUAAUACGUAGGUGGCAAGCGUUAUCCGGAUUUACGGGGUGUAAAGGGCGUGUAGGCGGGACUGCAAGGCAGAUGUGAAAACCACGGGCUCAACCUGUGGCCUGCAUUUGAAACUGUAGUUCUUGAGUACUGGAGAGGCAGACGGAAUUCCUAGUGUAGCUGUGAAAUGCGUAGAUAUUAGGAGGAACACCAGUGGCGAAGGCGGUCUGCUGGACAGCAACUGACGCUGAGGCGCGAAAGCGUGGGGAGCAAACAGGAUUAGAUACCAGUAGUC
rnacentral:rRNA from 1 species